CUAGGUGUUAUGCAGAUGGUUAUACAACGGUGUUUUGGAAACAUCGGUUCGCAAGUUCGAAUCUUGCCACCUAGA
rnacentral:tRNA from 1 species